GUUUAUCUGACGAGUUUUGUGCUUUGCACAAAACAUCGCAUUAUUGAUUGCCGUUUCUCACAGGUGUUGCGAAACGGCGUAAAAAGUCAAAUCGAAAAUUGAUAUUUUUUCAUUGACUUUUUAUAGGA
rfam:Treponema denticola ATCC 35405, complete genome.